UGGGGAAUUUUCCGCAAUGGGCGAAAGCCUGACGGAGCAACGCCGCGUGGAUGAUGACGGCUUUCGGGUUGUAAAGUCCUUUCAGCAGGGACGAAAAAAAUGACGGUACCUGCAGAAGAAGCAUCGGCUAACUACGUGCCAGCAGCCGCGGUAAUACGUAGGAUGCAAGCGUUGUCCGGAUUUAUUGGGCGUAAAGAGAACGUAGGUGGCUUGCUAAGUUCGGUCUUAAAGACCGGGGCUCAACCCCGGGAAUGGAUUGAAGACUGGCAGGCUAGAGGAUGUUAGAGGACGGUGGAAUUCCAAGUGUAGCGGUGAAAUGCGUAGAUAUUUGGAGGAACACCAGUGGCGAAAGCGGCCGUCUGGAACAUUCCUGACACUGAGGUUCGAAAGCUCGGGGAGCAAACAG
rnacentral:rRNA from 1 species